rnacentral:rRNA from 1 species
AUUGAACGCUGGCGGUAUGCUUAACACAUGCAAGUCGAACGGUAACAGGCCUUCGGGCGCUGACGAGUGGCGGACGGGUGAGUAACGCGUAGGAAUCUGCCUCAUAGUGGGGGACAACGUGGGGAAACUCACGCUAAUACCGCAUACGCCCUACGGGGGAAAGCGGGGACCGUUCGGGCCUCGCGCUAUGAGAUGAGCCUGCGUUAGAUUAGCUAGUUGGUAGGGUAAAGGCCUACCAAGGCGACGAUCUAUAGCUGGUCUGAGAGGACGAUCAGCCACACUGGGACUGAGACACGGCCCAGACUCCUACGGGUGGCAGCCUGAGACGCCAAGGCACACAGGGGAUAGG